rnacentral:rRNA from 1 species
UACGUAGGGUGCAGGCGUUAAUCGGAAUUACUGGGCGUAAAGCGCACGUAGGCGGCUUGGUAUGUCGGGUGUGAAAUCCCCGGGCUCAACCUGGGAACUGCAUCCGAAACUGCCUUGCUCGAGUAUGGGAGAGGGAAGUGGAAUUUCCGGUGUAGCGGUGAAAUGCGUAGAUAUCGGAAGGAACAUCAGUGGCGAAGGCGACUUCCUGGACCAAUACUGACGCUCAGGUGCGAAAGCGUGGGGAGCAAACAGG